rnacentral:rRNA from 1 species
AGCNNAUCUUAGAAAGUGCGUCGUAGUCCGGAUUGGAGUCUGCAACCGACUCCAUGAAGUCGGAAUCGCUAGUAAUCGCGAAUCAGCAAUGUCGCGGUGAAUACGUUCCCGG